rnacentral:misc_RNA from 1 species
AACGCAUCUUGCGCCCGUUAGUAUUCUGACGGGCAUGCCUGUUCGAGCGUCAUUUCAACCAUCAAGCCCCAGGCUUGCGUUGGGGCCCUGCGGCUGCCGCAGGCCUCUAAAUUCAGUGGCGGGCUCGUCGUCGUACCGAGUGCAGUAAACAUCCUCACUCGUGGACCCCGACGGGUGCUGGCCGUGAAACACCCCCUCUCAAGGUUGACCUCGGAUCAGGUAGGAAUACCCGCUGAACUUAA